rnacentral:rRNA from 1 species
CUGCGAAUGGCUCAUUAUAUAAGUUAUCGUUUAUUUGAUAGUACCUUACUACUUGGAUAACCGUGGUAAUUCUAGAGCUAAUACAUGCUAAAAAUCCCGACUUCGGAAGGGAUGUAUUUAUUAGAUUAAAAACCAAUGCCCUUCGGGGCUCACUGGUGAUUCAUGAUAACUCCUCGAAUCGCAUGGCCUUGUGCCGGCGAUGGUUCAUUCAAAUUUCUUCCCUAUCAACUUUCGAUGUUUGGGUAUUGGCCAAACAUGGUUGCAACGGGUAACGGAGGGUUAGGGCUCGACCCCGGAGAAGGAGCCUGAGAAACGGCUACUACAUCCAAGGAAGGCAGCAGGCGCGCAAAUUACCCAAUCCCGACACGGGGAGGUAGUGACAAUAAAUACUGAUACAGGGCUCUUUUGGGUCUUGUAAUUGGAAUGAGUACAAUUUAAAUCCCUUAACGAGGAACAAUUGGAGGGCAAGUCUGGUGCCAGCAGCCGCGGUAAUUCCAGCUCCAAUAGCGUAUAUUAAAGUUGUUGUGGUUAAAAAGCUCGUAGUUGAACCUUGGGCCUGGCUGGCCGGUCCGCCUCACCGCGUGUACUGGUCCGGCCGGGCCUUUCCCUCUGUGGAACCCCAUGCCCUUCACUGGGUGUGGCGGGGAAACAGGACUUUUACUGUGAAAAAAUUAGAGUGCUCCAGGCAGGCCUAUGCUCGAAUACAUUAGCAUGGAAUAAUAGAAUAGGACGUGUGGUUCUAUUUUGUUGGUUUCUAGGACCGCCGUAAUGAUUAAUAGGGACAGUCGGGGGCAUCAGUAUUCAAUUGUCAGAGGUGAAAUUCUUGGAUUUAUUGAAGACUAACUACUGCGAAAGCAUUUGCCAAGGAUGUUUUCAUUAAUCAGGAACGAAAGUUAGGGGAUCGAAGACGAUCAGAUACCGUCGUAGUCUUAACCAUAAACUAUGCCGACUAGGGAUCGGACGGUGUUAUUUUUUGACCCGUUCGGCCUCCCUUACGAGAAAUCAAAGUGCUU